AUUGUUUUGGCAGAUAAGUGCAACGAAUUUAGAAUUCGUGAAUAUAGAUAUUUCUAUAGAUAAUA
rnacentral:tRNA from 1 species